rfam:Canis lupus familiaris chromosome 21, whole genome shotgun sequence.
GUGCUCACUUUGGCAGCACAUAGACUAAAAUUGGAACGAUACAGAGAAGAUUAGCAUGGCCCCUGUGCAAGGAUGACACGAAAAAUAAAUAAAUCUUUAAAAAAAAA